UCUUGUCUGAAUUUGAUUGCAUGAGCAUGCGCCCAGUUUCUUCUCCCUUGAAUCCUACUCAGAAAUUGCGAGCAGAGGUAGGGACUUUGCUCCAAGAUCCCACUUAUUAUCGUCGGUUGUUAGGAAAGUUGAAUUUCCUAACACACACCAGGCCGGACUUAUCCUUUGCGGUGCAACAUCUUAGCCAAUUCAUACAAACACCCCGUCAACCCCAUUUAGAUGCUGCAUUUCAUUGCCUCAGGUAUCUCCUCAAGGACCCAGGAUUAUGGCUUUUUUCUGAAUUCAAAGCUUAAUUAUCAGCUCCUUACUUUCUGUGAUUCCGAUUGGGGAUCUUGUCCUCAAUCUCGCAAGUCCAUUAGCGGGUUCUUCAUCAGCUUUGGGGGUUCUCCCGUCUCCUGAAAAUCAAAGAAACAAACCUCAGUGUCAUUAUCCUCUACUGAAGUAGAGUAUAGAUCUAUGCAGAGAGUCACAACAGAGGUUACUUGGUUAGUUCGUCUAUUGACUGAUCUUUCGAUUUCCCCUCCAUUGCCAAUAGAUCUCUUCUCCGACAGUCAGGCCGCCAUUCACAUCGCGAAAAACCCGAUUUUUCACGAGCGUACCAAGCAUGUGGAGUUAGAUUGUCACUUUGUCCGACAAUAAUUUCUGGCCGGAAUCAUCUCUCUUUCUUACAUUCCUUCACGUUCUCAGGUGGCUGACAUUUUUACUAAACCCUUAGCAGGACCGGCACACAACUCCAUUAUUGGCAAGUUGGGUGUGGUUACAUCCCCCUCCAACUUGAGGGGGGGGGGUGUUGGAGCUGGUUGUUUGAAACAAGACUCGAUGACCGAGAAAGUUGGAGAUUAAGAAGAAGAGACAAGGAAAGAGAAAUUGGAGCUUUGGUCUGCACGAAGCAAA
rnacentral:lncRNA from 1 species